rnacentral:rRNA from 1 species
GUGAAACUGCGGACGGCUCAUUGACCAGUUGCGGCGGCGGCGCCCGAGUAAGUCGGUUACCAAGGGAAACGCUCUUGCUAAUCGUGUAAGGCCAAAUCAGCUAUGGCAGCUUUUUGGGUGUGAGUAAUGGCGCCGUCGGCUUCUGCCGCAUCAUCUAGAAGGGUGUGUAAGGGACCCCCCUUGAGGCAACGCGGACGGGGGAUCGGGGUUCGGCUCCGGAGAGUGAGCAUGAGAGACGGCUCACAGUUCUAAGGGAGGCAGCAGGCGCGGAAAUUGCCCAAUGCGCUCUGGCGCGAGGCAGCGACGAUCAAUCCUGAAAGACUUUGUCUUACGGGCUGAGCCGGGAGUAAAGCCCCCGGCGGACGCGAUUAGUGGAAAAGCAUGGUGCCAGCACCCGCGGUAAUUCCAUCACUGAGAGCUUUCCCUUACGUUGCUGCAGUUAAAACGCUCGUAGCCGCCGCAGUCAUGCGCCCCUCCGAGGAAAUGGGACGGUUCAUGCGAAUCGCACAGGCCAGCGGAGUAGGGCAGGGCGACGCGCGGGUACAUGGCGGCACGGGGCCGUUCGGAUUGACUGGGGAUGGGUGAAAUAAGAUGAUCCAGUCAGGACGCGCGACAGCGGAGGCAGACGGCAAGUGCCGGCCAGUUGGUCAAGGGGCGAAAGCGCGAGGAUGGACGACGAUUAGAGACCGUUCUACUUCGCGCCCUAAACGGUGCCGCCGCGGAAGGGGGCGCGCUCCCCUCCCCAGGGAAACCGUCAGGCUACGGGCUCUGGGGGGAGUAUGGUUGCAAGACUGAAACUUGAAGGUAUUGACGGAAUGGAUACCACAAGACGUGGAGUUUGCGGUUCAAUCCGACUCAAACACAGUAACCUUACCAGGCCAAGAGGGCUUACGGAGGCGACAGCUUGAGAGUGCUUUCGCGAUUGGUCCGGCGGUGGUGCAUGGUCGCUCCGAGUUCGUAGUUAAACUGUCUGCCUUAUCGCGUUAACGAGCCGAGACGACCGGCCCAAGAUCUUGGGCGAGCGCUGGCGUUGAGCCAGACGAACGUGGUCGCGCUAGCAGGUCUGUGAUGCCCCUAGACACUCUGGGCCACACGCGCACUACAAUGCCGGCCGCAGCAGGUCGCCCCGUGGGAGCGCGGGGCUACGCGGCAACCGCCGGCGUGGUUGGGACCGGGGUUUGCAACUGUCCCCCGCGAACGAGGAAUGUCCAGUAAGCGCCCGCGAUCAUCGCGCGCUGACUAUGUCCCUGUCCUUUGUACACACCGCCCGUCGCUCCUACCGACUCGGAUGAUCUGGUGAGCUGUCCGGACGCAAGGAAGUUCCGCGAACCGUAUUGUCUGGAGGAAGGAGAA